rnacentral:rRNA from 1 species
UACGUAGGCAGCAAGCGUUGUUCGGAGUUACUGGGCGUAAAGCGCGUGUAGGCGGCCCGGUAAGUCCGCUGUGAAAGUCGGGGGCUCAACCCUCGAAUGCCGGUGGAUACUGUCGGGCUAGAGUGCGGGAGAGGCGAGUGGAAUUCCUGGUGUAGCGGUGAAAUGCGCAGAUAUCAGGAGGAACACCGGUGGCGAAGGCGGGUCUCUGGGCCGAUACUGACGCUGAGGAGCGAAAGCGUGGGGAGCAAACAGG